rnacentral:ncRNA from 1 species
ACUCUUAUAGUGAUAUAGGACUGGAACGUGAGAAAUCAGCCGAAGCCAUAGUAAUGAAGACGUCUAUCGAAAGGUAGAAGGAGUGAAGGGC